rnacentral:rRNA from 1 species
GACGAACGCUGGCGGCGUGCCUAAUACAUGCAAGUCGAACGGGAAGGUUCCAGCUUUCUGGGGUUCACGAGUGGCGAACGGGUGAGUAACACGUGUGGGUCCCGUCCUGCACUUCCGGGUAAGCCUUGGGAAAUGGGGCUAAUACCGGGGAGGACCUUGGGGUGGGUACGGUGGGGUAAAGUUUGUUCGUUUUGGGAUGGGCUCGCGGCCUAUCAGCUUGUUGGUGGGGUAAUGGCAAGGCACGGGGGCGACGGGUAGCCGGCCUGAGAGGGUGGACGGCCACAUUGGGACUGAGACACGGCCCAGACUCCUACGGGAGGCAGCAGUGGGGAAUAUUGCACAAUGGGCGGAAGCCUGAUGCAGCGACGCCGCGUGGGGGAUGACGGCCUUCGGGUUGUAAACUCCUUUCACCAUAGACGAAGGGUUUCUGACGGUAGAUGGAGAAGAAGCACCGGCUAACUACGUG